rnacentral:rRNA from 1 species
UGGGGAAUAUUGCACAAUGGGCGCAAGCCUGAUGCAGCCAUGCCGCGUGUGUGAAGAAGGCCUUCGGGUUGUAAAGCACUUUCAGCGGGGAGGAAGGCGUUAAGGUUAAUAACCUUGGCGAUUGACGUCACCCGCAGAAGAAGCACCGGCUAACUCCGUGCCAGCAGCCGCGGUAAUACGGAGGGUGCAAGCGUUAAUCGGAAUUACUGGGCGUAAAGCGCACGCAGGCGGUCUGUCAAGUCGGAUGUGAAAUCCCCGGGCUCAACCUGGGAACUGCAUUCGAAACUGGCAGGCUAGAGUCUUGUAGAGGGGGGUAGAAUUCCAGGUGUAGCGGUGAAAUGCGUGGAGAUCUGGAGGAAUACCGGAGGCGAAGGCGGCCCCCUGGACAAAGACUGACGCUCAGGUGCGAAAGCGUGGGGAGCAAACAGG